rnacentral:tRNA from 1 species
GGGGAUGUAGUUAAAAAUAACAUUUAAUUUGCAAUUAAAAAGUACAAUAAAGUCUUCCUCA